rnacentral:rRNA from 1 species
UGCCAGCAGCCGCGGUAAGACGUAGGUGGCAAGCGUUGUCCGGAAUCACUGGGCGUAAAGGGCGCGUAGGCGGUAUAUCAAGUCAAUUGUGAAAGACCCGGGCUUAACCCGGGAAGUGCAGUUGAAACUGGUAAACUUGAGUGCAGUAGAGGGAAGCGGAAUUCCUGGUGUAGCGGUGAAAUGCGUAGAGAUCAGGAGGAACACCGGUGGCGAAGGCGGCUUUCUAGGCUGCAACUGACGCUGAGGCGCGAAAGCGUGGGGAGCGAACAGGAUUAGAUACCCUGGUAGUCCACGCUGUAAACGAUGAAUACUAGGUGUGGGUAUCGCAGGAUAUCCGUGCCGCAGCUAACGCAAUAAGUAUUCCGCCUGGGGAGUACGGCCGCAAGGUUGAAACUCAAAGGAAUUGACGGGGGCCCGCACA